AGUCCUAAACUGUUCAUCCUAUCCUGCCUUACCCUUCUCUCAGAAACCCCAACAAAGGCCAUGCCUUACAACUUACCUUGCUCCUGUUUCUGCCUCCUGACCACUCUGGUCUUCCCCAUGUUGCCAUGUAUGGCAUGCCUCCUGUCUCUAGGACCUGUGAGUAGAAAAUACUUUAUUUUCUCGAGUCUCUCCUGUGUCUCCUCUUGUAGCCCCAUCUGGCCGAUUGUCUCAUAAAUGUAUACAAAACAAAAUUUCUGACAAAUCAUAAUAUUUAUAGAUGCAGCAAAAGAGAAAAACAAUGAAAGUCUGUAUUAGUAACCAGAAAAACGGUCAGAAGUCUGAGGUACCUGAGAGAAGACAGCAAAAUGAGAUCUGGAAUUUGAGGAGCACCUGUUAGGAGAAGAGCCAUCUCUACUACUCCCCAAAAGAUUCCCUGUUCUAGUUGGCCUUCUAUAUUGGUGGUUUCUGAAUACAUACCCCAAAGAACCUGAGCAUCAGUGAAUUCUGGUAUCUUCUGGGAGCCCUGGAACUAAUCUCUUGAAGAUACCAACGGAUGACUGUGUUUUAAAAGGCGAGAGAGAGAUGUCACUCAGGACUGCUUCCGAAGGAGUUUCCCUUGAAGCUUGCUUCACUGUCUGACUCCUUUCAUACAAGUGGGUAACAUGCCCUUCAUUCAGAACCAAACCUGUGCCCUGGCUUGGUAUAUUUCCUCCACCUGCUGAGCAUCCUCUCACCCUCUACUUUUACCUGGAAGAAAGAAGACAAUAAUAUCUACCAAUCAAGAUGCUGUACCUGAAGCAGAAGAUAACCUGGCAAAGAAAAGAGUAUAGUGCUGCCUUCAGGGAACUCCUAGUCUAGGGGAAGACAGCCAAUAAUCACAUAACUGCUCUAAUCAAAUAUUUCACCAAAAUAAAGUAUUAGCCACCUCCU
rnacentral:lncRNA from 1 species